rnacentral:rRNA from 1 species
AUGGUGAAUAGCAACAGUGCAUUGAAAAAUGGCCAACCACUAACUGCAGUGUCUGCAAUCAUGGCAAUCAAGCUGAAGUAUCAAGUGCAUAAAAACUGGUUUGGUGACCCAUGCGGUCCGGAGACUAUUAUGGUGUGGGCCAAGUUGGCAUGUAGCUACGCCACUGCAAGGGCCCCAAGGAUUAGACGCGUAGACUUGUCCUCGAGAGGUCUGAACGGUGAUAUCUCAUCUUCCUUCGCCAAUCUUAAAGUUAUCCAAUACUUGAAUCUUUCAAACAAUAACUUGGUAGGAUCAAUUCCAGAUGCCCUUUCACAAUUAACUUCAUUGGCAGUUCUAUAUGGCAACAAUCGAGACCUUUGCCCCAAUGGCAAUUCAUGUGGGCUACCAAACAAACGAAAGAGCAAUCUGGCCAUCUACAUUGUCGUCCCUAUAAUUGUGGUGAUAAUAGUGGUAGUAUUAUUACUACUCUUUUGCUUGCUAAGGAGGAAGAGACAAGGAUCAAUGAACAACUCUGUGGAUCCACACAAUGAAACCACGACGAGCUAUGUGGUAGGAAACGAUGUUCAUAGGGACAAUUCCUCAUUGCAUCGACUUGAGAGUCGUCAGUUCACGUACGAGGAGCUCAAGAUGAUAACAAACAACUUCCAACGAGUACUUGGCCAGGGAGGGUUCGGGUACGUCUAUGAUGGUUUUCUAGAGGAUGGCACCCAUGUGGCGGUGAAGUUACAGUCUCAUUCUUCCAGUCAAGGUGUCAAGGAGUUCCUUGCAGAGGAAGUAAACGCGAUGGAGGAUGUUUAUCAUGGAGUCAAAGACUCCGGAUUGCACUUGAAUCUGCACAAGGCUAGGAUUGCGGACUUCGGCUUGUUCAAGGCCUUCAAUGGUGGCGAUGAUUACGCUUCCACAAUGACACUCGUUGGCACACCCGGAUAUGUCGACCCCGAGUACCAGGCGACGAUGCAGCCAACAGCCAAGAGCGAUGUGUAUAGCUUCGGUGUCGUCCUGCUGGAACUGGUCACAGGGAAGCCUGCCAUACUGCAGGAGGCGACACCCAUCAACAUCCUUCAUUGGACACGAAAACGGAUGGCACAGGGCCAUAUUGAAAGUGUGGUUGAUGCGCGUAUGUGUGGCAUUUAUGAUGUUAACAGUGUGUGGAAAGUGGUGGAAAUUGCACUCAAGUGCAUUGCAUAUGUGUCACCGCAACGACCCACCAUGACCGGUGUGGUGGCUCAGUUGCAAGAGUGCAUGGAGCUCGAGGAAGGAAGCAUCGAUCAUUGA